AUACUCCUACGGGAGGCAGCAGUGAGGAAUAUUGGUCAAUGGCCGGAAGGCUGAACCAGCCAAGCCGCGUGAAGGACGAAGGUGCCAAGCAUUGUAAACUUCUUUUGUCAAGGGACAAAAUCAGGCUCGAGAGCCUGACCGAGGGUACUUGAAGAAAAAGCAUCGGCUAACUCCGUGCCAGCAGCCGCGGUAAUACGGAGGAUGCGAGCGUUAUCCGGAUUUAUUGGGUUUAAAGGGUGCGUAGGCGGGCUGGUAAGUCAGCGGUAAAAGCCCGGGGCUCAAUCCCGGCGAGCCGGUGAAACUGG
rnacentral:rRNA from 1 species